rnacentral:tRNA from 1 species
UGCAUCAGCCGGGAAUCGAACCCUGGCCGCCCCCGUGGCAGGCGAGCAUUCUACCACUGAACCACUGAUGC